CCAGUAUGAUUUCGUCACAUGCUGAGUUAGCCUCAGAGUGCUAAUUUGUGGGUUACACCCCAACCUAAGAAUUGAAAGACACCAAAGCAGAUUGAUAGCUAACUUUGAGAAGUGCAUAGUGUUGAGUAGCCUUAGGCCACAGUGCGGAUAAUGCUGUGGCA
rnacentral:sRNA from 20 species